CAGUAGCCGCGGUAAAACGUAGGGUGCAAGCGUUAAUCGGAAUUACUGGGCGUAAAGCGUGCGCAGGCGGUUCGCUAAGACAGAUGUGAAAUCCCCGGGCUUAACCUGGGAACCGCAUUUGUGACUGGCGGGCUAGAGUAUGGCAGAGGGGGGUAGAAUUCCACGUGUAGCGGUGAAAUGCGUAGAGAUGUGGAGGAAUACCGAUGGCGAAGGCAGCCCCCUGGGCCAAUACUGACGCUCAUGCACGAAAGCGUGGGGAGUAAACAGGAUUAGAUACCCCCGUAGUCCCUGUCUCUUAUAC
rnacentral:rRNA from 1 species